AAAAACAUGUCUUUUAGAAUUUAAUUUAAAGUCUAACCUGCCCACUGNNNAUUUUUAAAUGGCCGCAGUAUUNCNUAACUGUGCAAAGGUAGCAUAAUCAUUAGUCUUUUAAUUGGAGGCUGGUAUGAAUGGUUGAAUGAAAUAUUAACUGUUUCAAUUUAAUUUUUUAUAUAAAUUUAUUUUUUAGUCAAAAAGCUAAAAUUUAUUUAAAAGACGAGAAGACCCUAUAAAUCUUUAUAUUUNUUUUUUAUUAUUAANUAUAUAGAAUAUUAAAUUUUUAAUAUUAAAGAAUAUUUUAUUGGGGUGAUAUUGAAAUUUAUAAAACUUUUAAUUUUUAAUUAACAUAAAUUAAUGAAUUAUNUGAUCCAUUANNUAAUGAUUAUAAAAUUAAGUUACUUUAGGGAUAACAGCNGUAAUUUUUUUAGAGAGUUCAUAUUGAUAAAAAAGAUUGCGACCUCGAUGUUGGAUUAAGAUAUAG
rnacentral:rRNA from 1 species